rnacentral:rRNA from 1 species
CACGCAGGCGGAUUGAUAAGUCAGGGGUGAAAUCCCGGGGCUCAACCUCGGAAUUGCCUUUGAUACUGUCUAUCUUGAGUUCGGGAGAGGUUGGCGGAAUUCCUAGUGUAGAGGUGAAAUUCGUAGAUAUUAGGAAGAACACCAGUGGCGAAGGCGGCCAACUGGCCCGAUACUGACGCUCAUGUGCGAAAGCGUGGGGAGCAAACAGGAUUAGAUACCCUGGUAGUCCACGCCGUAAACUAUGGAUGCUAGCCGUUGGGGAGCUUGCUCUUCAGUGGCGCAGCUAACGUCUUAAGCAUCCCGCCUGGGGAGUACGGUCGCAAGAUUAAAA